rnacentral:rRNA from 1 species
UGAUUGCAUCUGGUGAUUAGUGGCGAACGGGUGAGUAACAAGUGAGCNACCUGCCCCUGACUUUGGGAUAAGCGCUGGAAACGGCGUCUAAUACCGGAUAUGUCCCGUCACCGCCUGGUGUGAGGGUGGAAAGAUUUUUCGGUUGGGGAUGGGCUCGCGGCCUAUCAGCUUGUUGGUGAGGUAAUGGCUCACCAAGGCGUCGACGGGUAGCCGGCCUGAGAGGGUGACCGGCCACACUGGGACUGAGACACGGCCCAGACUCCUACGGGAGGCAGCAGUGGGGAAUAUUGCACAAUGGGCGGAAGCCUGAUGCAGCAACGCCGCGUGAGGGAUGACGGCCUUCGGGUUGUAAACCUCUUUCAGCAGGGAAGAAGCGAGAGUGACGGUACCUGCAGAAGAAGCACCGGCUAACUACGUGCCAGCAGCCGCGGUAAUACGUAGGGUGCAAGCGUUAUCCGGAAUUAUUGGGCGUAAAGAGCUCGUAGGCGGUCUGUCGCGUCUGUUGUGAAAUUCCGAGGCUCAACCUCGGGUUUGCAGUGGGUACGGGCAGACUAGAGUGCGGUAGGGGAGAUUGGAAUUCCUGGUGUAGCGGUGGAAUGCGCAGAUAUCAGGAGGAACACCGAUGGCGAAGGCAGAUCUCUGGGCAGUAACUGACGCUGAGGAGCGAAAGCAUGGGGAGCAAACAGGAUUAGAUACCCUGGUAGUCCACCCCGUAAACGUUGGGCACUAGUUGUGGGGUCCAUUCCACGGAUUCCGUGACCGCAGCUAACGCAUUAAGUGCCCCGCCUGGGGAGUACGGCCGCAAGGCUAAAACUCAAAGGAAUUGACGGGGGCCCGCACAAGCGGCGGAGCAUGCGGAUUAAUUCGAUGCAACGCGAAGAACCUUACCAAGGCUUGACAUGUUCCAGAUCGCCUCAGAGAUGGGGUUUCCCUUCGGGGCUGGUUCACAGGUGGUGCAUGGUUGUCGUCAGCUCGUGUCGUGAGAUGUUGGGUUAAGUCCCGCAACGAGCGCAACCCUCGUUCCAUGUUGCCAGCGGGUUAUGCCGGGAACUCAUGGGAUACUGCCGGGGUCAACUCGGAGGAAGGUGGGGAUGACGUCAAAUCAUCAUGCCCCUUAUGUCUUGGGCUUCACGCAUGCUACAAUGGCCGGUACAAUGGGUUGCGAUACUGUAAGGUGGAGCUAAUCCCUAAAAGCCGGUCUCAGUUCGGAUUGAGGUCUGCAACUCGACCUCAUGAAGUCGGAGUCGCUAGUAAUCGCAGAUCAGCAACGCUGCGGUGAAUACGUUCCCGGGUCUUGUACACACCGCCCGUCAAGUCAUGAGAGUCGGUAACACCUGAAGCCGGUGGCCUAACCACUUGGGGGAGGGAGCCGCCCAAUGUGAUCGGGGUUUAGGAGUAUGUCCACCAGGGUAACAAACGUGGUUGCUCCCCACCUU